rnacentral:misc_RNA from 1 species
GUUCUUUGCAUUGUGGACAGUACCUUUGUAAGAUAUAUUCACAUUAAUCCUUUAUUGCAAUUUCCUUUCCCCUUCAACACAUCAACUCUAAAGAAUUCAUAUACAAAGUAAUCCUUUAUUUCAUUCUUAAGAAAAAGGACAUGAUAUCGAAGGAUAGAUCUUAACUUAUAUCAAUUAAUAAUUUAGAUUUGAGAUAAUUUGUAAAAUACAUAAGCU